rnacentral:rRNA from 1 species
UUAGAUGUUCGGGGCCGCACGCGCGCUACACUGAAGGAAUCAGCGUGUGCUCUCCCUGUCCGACAGGACUGGGUAACCCGUUGAACCUCCUUCGUGAUAGGGACAAGAAAUUGUAAUUGUUUUCUUCGAACGAGGAAUUCCUCGUAAGCGCGAGUCAUCAGCUCGUGUUGACUAGGUCCCUGCCCUUUGUCCACACCGCCCGUCGCUACUACCGAUUGAACGAUUUAGUGAGGUCUUCGGACUGGCGCUCGGAGCGGCUUCGAGCCGGGCCGGCGUGCCGGAAAGAUGACCGAACUUGAUCGUUUAGAGGAAGUAAAAGUCGUAACAAGGUUUC